UUUUAUUUUUUUCGAUUUUGAUUUUGAUUUUGAUUCUUUUAUUUUUUCACCCCCUCCUUUUUGUUUAUUACAUUUGUAAUGCCCCAGUUUGACUGUUUGCUGAUUCUCAAGAUACAGUUGAAUGAUCUUCUUUUCCAUGCUCAAGAAGACGGGUAAUCUCGUUAGGAAUCCCUUCAACAUCAUCUUCCUCUGCUUCGAAUACAGGGAAUCCACAAUUGGGAGAUGGCGUUGGAUCAUUAUGUUCAAUGGGUUUAGAAAUCCCUGCAUAAUGAUUUUGGAUAAUGAAAAGCUUUAGAAUUUAAACAAGCAAAUAAUUAUGCAGAUGAAAAGAUUGUUUUUAUUCUUGUUUUUCAGGGUUUUUUGUGAUCACCGAUUUCAUGCAAAAAAGCAAAAAGUGAAAACAAUUGGAAAAACAAAUGUUUAACAUGCAUUUAUUGAAUGAAA
rnacentral:lncRNA from 1 species